GUUAAAGUGGUCAUGGUGGUUGGAGUAAACCUUUAACUUCAGAUCUCCCAUUUAUUUUGCAUUGUGCAGAGAAGGAUUAAAAUCCCACAUGGCUAUAGCCAGGUUACAAUUUUGAAACCAUCCUUCAUUCUUCGCGUAGGGAUGGUAAAUGGUGCCGGACAAAUUGAUGGUUCUGGGGACCCGUCUAACCUCUGGGCCCUCUCCAGUUU